rnacentral:rRNA from 1 species
AUUGAACGCUGGCGGCAUGCCUUACACAUGCAAGUCGAACGGUAACGCGGGGCAACCUGGCGACGAGUGGCGAACGGGUGAGUAAUGCAUCGGAACGUGCCCAGCUGUGGGGGAUAACUGCUCGAAAGAGCAGCUAAUACCGCAUACGAUCUGAGGGUGAAUGCGGGGGAUCGCAAGACCUCGCGCAAUGUGAGCGGCCGAUGUCGGAUUAGCUAGUUGGUGGAGUAAAGGCCCACCAAGGCUACGAGCCGUAGCUGGUCUGAGAGGACGACCAGCCACACUGGGACUGAGACACGGCCCAGACUCCUACGGGAGGCAGCAGUGGGGAAUUUUGGACAAUGGACGCAAGUCUGAUCCAGCCAUGCCGCGUGCGGGAAGAAGGCCUUCGGGUUGUAAACCGCUUUUGUCAGGGAAGAAAUCUUCUGGGUUAAUACCUCGGGAGGAUGACGGUACCUGAAGAAUAAGCACCGGCUAACUACGUGCCAGCAGCCGCCGUAAAAC